rnacentral:tRNA from 1 species
AAAAAUGAAAUCAAAAUUGAUGUUUCAUUUACAAUGAAAAUUUGUAAACUUUUACCGUUUUUU